GACGAACGCUGGCGGCGCGCUUAACACAUGCAAGUCGAGCGAUGAAACUGUAACAGAACCCUUCGGGGCGAAGCUAAAGUGGAUUAGCGGCGGACGGGUGAGUAACACGUGAGUAACCUGCCUUAGACAUUGGGAUAGCCACGGGAAACCGGGAUUAAUACCAAAUAAAAUAAUAAUGACACAUGUCAUAUCGAUCAAAACUCCGGUGGUCUAAGAUGGACUUGCGUCCCAUUAACUAGUUGGUAGAGUAAAAGCCUACCAAGGCAACGAUGGGUAGCCGGCCUGAGAGGCUGAACGGCCACAUUGGAACUGAGAAGCGGUCCAAACUCCUAGGGGAGGCAGCAGUGGGGAAUAUUGCCCAAUGGAGUGAACUCAGAUGCAGCGACGCCGCGUGAACCAAGAAGUCUUUCGAGUCGUAAAGUUCUUUUAUAUGGCAAUAUAAUGACGGUACCAUAAGAAAAAGCCCCGGCUAACUUCGUG
rnacentral:rRNA from 1 species